AGCUAGUUGGUGGGGUAAUGGCUCACCAAGGCGACGAUCCGUAACUGGUCUGAGAGGAUGAUCAGUCACACUGGAACUGAGACACGGUCCAGACUCCUACGGGAGGCAGCAGUGGGGAAUAUUGGACAAUGGGCGAAAGCCUGAUCCAGCCAUGCCGCGUGUGUGAAGAAGGUCUUCGGAUUGUAAAGCACUUUAAGUUGGGAGGAAGGGCAGUAAGUUAAUACCUUGCUGUUUUGACGUUACCGACAGAAUAAGCACCGGCUAACUCUGUGCCAGCAGCCGCGGUAAUACAGAGGGUGCAAGCGUUAAUCGGAAUUACUGGGCGUAAAGCGCGCGUAGGUGGUUUGUUAAGUUGGAUGUGAAAGCCCCGGGCUCAACCUGGGAACUGCAUCCAAAACUGGCAAGCUAGAGUACGGUAGAGGGUGGUGGAAUUUCCUGUGUAGCGGUGAAAUGCGUAGAUAUAGGAAGGAACACCAGUGGCGAAGGCGACCACCUGGAC
rnacentral:rRNA from 1 species